rnacentral:rRNA from 1 species
UACGGAGGAUCCAAGCGUUAUCCGGAUUUAUUGGGCUUAAAGGGUGCGUAGGCGGCUUAUUAAGUCAGGGGUGAAAGCCGGUGGCUCAACCAUCGCAGUGCCUUUGAUACUGAUGAGCUUGAAUACACUUGAGGUAGGCGGAAUGUGACAAGUAGCGGUGAAAUGCUUAGAUAUGACAUAGAACACCAAUUGCGAAGGCAGCUCACUACACAAUCAUUGACUCUGAGGCACGAAAGCGUGGGGAUCAAACAGG